UUGUGUUCCUUUUUUUUGCGUGGAUUCCGCAAGUGCUAGCUGUCUGUACUACAGACAACUGUCAUCGUCGUGGGAAAGACUCACUGUUAUCUUCUCGUAAAACAACUGGUUGCAGUAUAGUGCCAAUCUGGAUACCAAGCAGAUCCUGAGGGAAUCUACGAGUACCGACAGCGUUACACUAUGGAGGAACAACAUACUCCUUCGUGGAAAGAUCCGACCACCUCACAAAAUAACUUUAACCCAACAAACAAAACAGAAAAACAGAUUAAUCUACAGACACGGACGAUUUACUUACCAUUGAAGUAGAGGCUAGUGCUCUGGCUGGAAUCCAUGCACCACUGGAACAGUUGUGUGAGGAGGUAGCAGGGCUGGAAUCCAUGCAACACUGGAACAGUUGUGUGAGGAGGUAGCAGGGCUGGAAUCCAUGCACCACUGGAACAGUUGUGUGAGGAGGUAGCAGGGCUGGAAUCCAUGCACCACUGGAACAGUUGUGUGAGGAGGUAGCAGGGCUGGAAUCCAUGCACCACUGGAACAGUUGUGUGAGGAGGUAGCAGGGCUGGAAUCCAUGCAACACUGGAACAGUUGUGUGAGGAGGUAGCAGGGCUGGAAUCCAUGCAACACUGGAACAGUUGUGUGAGGAGGUAGCAGGGCUGGAAUCCAUGCAACACUGGAACAGUUGUGUGAGGAGGUAGCAGGGCUGGAAUCCAUGCAACACUGGAACAGUUGUGUGAGGAGGUAGCAGGGCUGGAAUCCAUGCAACACUGGAACAGUUGUGUGAGGAGGUAGCAGGGCUGGAAUCCAUGCAACACUGGAACAGUUGUGUGAGGAGGUAGCAGGGCUGGAAUCCAUGCAACACUGGAACAGUUGUGUGAGGAGGUAGCAGGGCUGGAAUCCAUGCAACACUGGAACAGUUGUGUGAGGAGGUAGCAGGGCUGGAAUCCAUGCAACACUGGAACAGUUGUGUGAGGAGGUAGCAGGGCUGGAAUCCAUGCAACACUGGAACAGUUGUGUGAGGAGGUAGCAGGGCUGGAAUCCAUGCAACACUGGAACAGUUAUGUGACGAGGUAGCAGGGCUGGAAUCCAUGCAACACUGGAACAGUUGUGUGAGGAGGUAGCAGGGCUGGAAUCCAUGCAACACUGGAACAGUUGUGUGAGGAGGUAGCAGGGCUGGAAUCCAUGCAACACUGGAACAGUUGUGUGAGGAGGUAGCAGGGCUGGAAUCCAUGCAACACUGGAACAGUUGUGUGAGGAGGUAGCAGGGCUGGAAUCCAUGCAACACUGGAACAGUUAUGUGAGGAGGUAGCAGGGCUGGAAUCCAUGCAACACUGGAACAGUUGUGUGAGGAGGUAGCAGGGCUGGAAUCCAUGCAACACUGGAACAGUUGUGUGAGGAGGUAGCAGGGCUGGAAUCCAUGCAACACUGGAACAGUUGUGUGAGGAGGUAGCAGGGCUGAGGGGGAGUUUGGAGUUCAGCCAGAGUUAAAUUCUCAACCUCCAAAGAGAAAACAAGACACUCACAGUCAAGGUAAAAAUACACGAUUCCAACAUGGAUUGUCUACUCAGGGAAAACAGGGUGAUGAAUGAGACGCUACUAGACAUACAAAGUCGUAGCGUGAAAAUCUAUUUUUUUCUGGUAUUCCUGAGGACGCAUCCAAUAAUCUCGAGGGCGCGAUCAGAGAAUUCAUGAAAUCCGCAUUGAAACUUCCUAUAGAGACUGUAAACAAGGUGUCUUUCCACCGAGUACAGACUUGGAGCUUCCUAUAGAGACUGUAAAC